rnacentral:tRNA from 1 species
UGGGGUUGUGGCUCAGUGGUAGAGUGCUUGCCUAACACGUGUGAGGCCCUGGGUUCGAUCCUCAGCACCACAA